GUACCAGGGACAAGAACGAAAUACAGAAAGACGGAAAGAAAUAGAGAAAAAAGAAAGAAAUCACGUGCGGCGCACAUCCGCAUUGGAUAUGCUACACGCUUGAUCACGUGACAAGGGUAUCACGUGACACGUGCGCGACCAAUCAGGUUCGUUUGGUCUGUCGCGAGGAGGGACAUGGAAGGAAAGCGGGUUCGCACGCGCUCUCCGGGCUUCCCUCGCCUCAGAUCAGUUCGGCAAACAGAUGGGAAGGACACGCGUGGUGCGUUCUGCAAAGGAGCAAGCUGCGUUUGAUGAACGCCGGCGUGAACUCGCUCGGGAAAGGGCUCGUCGUCGACGUGCCGGUUCUAGCGUGAGGGCUUGCCUAGCCGACGCUCGCGGUCAGCGAAGAGCCGACGAUUUCGAGGCGAGGGCUUCCGAAGCCGAGGCCCGCCGUCAGCGACCAGCAGAGAAUCCGUAUGCGAGGGCUUCCAAAUGUUACCCUGACGAAGGUCAGAUACACCGACAACCAGCUUCGCUUACCCCCAUUUUCUCGACAGGGAAAAGGCUGGGGAUUUUUUUACCCGAAAUUACGUUACAUUCUUCUUUUAUAUGGGCUCAGUAAUGAAUGAAUUUUGUUUAAUCUUCGAGUCAAGCGAAUUCUAAUAUACCCAUAUUUAAAAGUUAUUUUAGGUUAUUUAGCAUUUCGUUGUCUUUCCGCACGGAGUUUUCACUUUCAGCCCGGCGCGACGCACCGUGUGCAAUCCCGCGCUUGGCUAGGCCCAACAUGGUGGCCACGACACUUGAGGACGAAGUGCGCGGGGGUAUACAUUCUGAGUACCGAACUCCUUGCGUAAAGUUCACGGCGGUGGACGCUAAAUAUGAAACGGAGUAUACGAGUUUCCAGGCGACGUAGAACACCGGGUUGGGAUACUCUGCUGCAGCUCUAGAAAAUAAACGCCCGGAUAUAAAGUCCAAAUUUGAAUAGUUACAAUGCUAUCUUGAACUAGUCCAUAAUAGAAAUUAUUUGACCCGCAAUUGAAUAACAUGACCCUCGUUCCCUGCAAAUUUUGACAAACAAGUUUUUACUGGCUGUCAGGUUCCGUUCUGCCAGGACCCCGGUAAUAUCUGAGUUGUAAUGCUUUCCAGUGCUCAAAUAAGUUACUGUCUGACGUAACUAAACCGCAUUUUUACCUUUGGCUGGACAUCACCGCUAACACGACCUCCAUUUCUACGAAAUGUGAACUCGGUACGAGAUUCUGUUCUGGGUGCAACAUUCAGGCGUCUACCUGUGGUUAACAAUAAGGGUUUCACUACUGUACGAGCCAAUGAAAUCACGCAAGAAUUUUUUAACAGUAGGUGAGAAGUGGCCUUCUCUAUAAAACUUCAUCGUAAAUAUAAAACAAGGCAUGACAGCUUCGCUGAAGGUUCCAAAACGCGCCGUGAAGGUUCUUGUGGUUCAGCUACCUGCUCUUGGUUUUGACAUCGUCAUAUUACGGUACUCUACUUUGUGGAAAAUGAGCCAGCCGGAAGGACAGGGCUUUCAGGAGAAGCGAGUUGAAUAGAGAAUGUUGACAGCGUCUAGUUAUUUUUUUUUCACAGUUCCUAAGCAUGCAGUGCACAGUUGAGCAUGAAGACAUUGAGCGCACUUUUCAGCCUGCUUUUGUGUGGGGUUUUUUUUUACAUAAGACAAAAAAUAAUACGAAUCGUUUUUGCCACAAAGAGCGUCUAUAGAAGUGGGAACCGGCUACUGUGGUGUUAUUAAGAAGCACAAGAAGACUAUAAUAUUACACAAAGCCGAAAAACUUCUGCGUAAUAACCUCACCAAUAACCUACUACAAAAGACUACUGUGCAAUAACCUGCCGCAUUUCAAUUUUUAUUCCUUUAGAUUUCAAGCAACUGUACCGUGUCUUGUUACAAUGAGACAUCGUCCUGGAAUCAAACCGAUCGUGACAAUGAAACAUGUUACUAUGGUUACACUGAGCUACAAACAUUUAAUGGAGGAAUCAAAACCUACAACUGCAGUUUGGGUUCCUGCAAUAAUGGAACGUGCAUCCCAAAUGGUCAAUGCGCUGAGUGCUGGUAACGGAAGCAAGCGGAAGCGUGACGUGUUCGCUGCACGUGCUGACAACACCACGAGUGAAGAAAAACGGCGCUUCCAUUUGCCGUUUAGGCUUCACAAGAUGAUCUAGAAGCAGUUUAGCAUAAAUUGUGGUUCGGUAAAAGGAAAUAAAUAUUACAUGGGGUGAAAAA